AGAUUGAACGCUGGCGGCAUGCCUAACACAUGCAAGUCGAACGGGAGUAGCAAUACUCUAGUGGCGGACGGGUGAGGAAUACGUAGGAAUUUGCCCUUAAGUGGGGGAUAACCCGGGGAAACCCGGAUUAAUACCGCAUGACCUCGAAAGAGCAAAGUGGGGGAUCGCAAGACCUCACGCUUUUGGAGAAGCCUACGUCGGAUUAGCUAGUUGGUGAGGUAAUGGCUCACCAAGGCGACGAUCCGUAACUGGUCUGAGAGGAUGAUCAGUCACACCGGAACUGAGACACGGUCCGGACUCCUACGGGAGCAGCAGUGGGGAAUAUGGACAAUGGGCGCAAGCCUGAUCC
rnacentral:rRNA from 1 species